rnacentral:rRNA from 1 species
UCUGGUUGAUCCUGCCAGAGGUUACUGCUAUCGAGGUUCGACUAAGCCAUGCGAGUCGAAUGUAACAAUACAUGGCGAACUGCUCAGUAACACGUGGACAACCUGCCCUUAGGUUGGGUAUAAACCCGGGAAACUGGGUAUAAUACCCGAUAGGUCUCGAUUGCUGGAAUGCAUCGAGAUUUAAAGCUCCGGCGCCUAAGGAUGGGUCUGCGGCCUAUCAGGUAGUAGUGGGUGUAGCGUACCUACUAGCCUACGACGGGUACGGGUUGUGAGAGCAAGAGCCCGGAGAUGGAUUCUGAGACACGAAUCCAGGCCCUACGGGGUGCAGCAGGCGCGAAAACUUUACAAUGCUGGCAACAGCGAUAAGGGAACCUCGAGUGCCAGGUUACAAAUCUGGCUGUCGAGAUGCCUAAAAAGCAUUUCAUAGCAAGGGCCGGGCAAGACCGGUGCCAGCCGCCGCGGUAACACCGGCGGCUCGAGUGGUAACCGUUAUUAUUGGGUCUAAAGGGUCUGUAGCCGGCCGGAUAAGUCUCUUGAGAAAUCUGGCAGCUUAACUGUCAGGCUUUCAGGAGAUACUGUCUGGCUCGAGGCCGGGAGAGGUGAGAGGUACUUCAGGGGUAGGGGUGAAAUCUUGUAAUCCUUGAAGGACCACCAGUGGCGAAGGCGUCUCACCAGAACGGACCUGACGGCAAGGGACGAAAGCUAGGGGCACGAACCGGAUUAGAUACCCGGGUAGUCCUAGCCGUAAACGAUACUCGCUAGGUGUCGGCCACGGUGCGACCGUUGUCGGUGCCGUAGGGAAGCCGUGAAGCGAGCCACCUGGAAGUACGGCCGCAAGGCUGAAACUUAAAGGAAUUGGCGGGGGAGCACCACAACGGGUGGAGCUUGCGGUUUAAUUGGAUUCAACGCCCGGA